rnacentral:tRNA from 1 species
GUUUAAAUAGUUUAAGAAAAAUUUUGAUUUGUGGUGUCAAAGAUGUAAUUUUUUACUUUAAGCC